rnacentral:lncRNA from 1 species
AUGAGGUCGGGAGGGCCAUGCCUAGUAAGUGUGGGUUGUUAUCACCAGCGGGCGGCCGACUGCUCUGCUCUAAGUCAGCGAUCCUUGAGCCCCAAGGUCUUCGCCUUCGACGCCACUGCGUUUAUAAAAGGUGAAAGGGAAACAUUUUUAAAAUGGAGGGCGAGAGUUGUGACUCAUGGACUCAGCUGCGCUGGGGCCACCCAUGCCCCUAUCAGACGGGGUGCCUGGCUCAAGUCCCACCUCCGCUUCCAAUGCAGCUUCCAGGACAUGCCCAGGAAAGCGAAAGAGGGGAGGCACAGCUCUGAGCCACCUUUGUCGUCGGGGCUGGCCCCCAGGGGACAGGAGCAAGAACACGUGAGGUCCCAAGCGUUUCACCCCAGCACAGCUUGGCUGCCGGACACCGUGGGGCAUCGGGCGGCAGCGAUGGCCCCCGGCCGACUCCUGCUGUUCAGAAGUCUGUGUGGUUGGCCGGCGCCAUGGCUCAACAGGCUAAUCCUCCGCCUUGCGGCGCCAGCACACCAGGUUCUAGUCCAGUCGGGGUGCCGGAUUCUGUCCCGGUUGCCCCUCUUCCAGGCCAGCUCUCUGCUGUGGCAGGGAGUGCAGUGGAGGAUGGCCCAAGUGCUUGGGCCCUGCACCCCAUGGGAGACCAGGAGAAGCACCUGGCUCCUGCCAUCGGAUCAGCGCAGUGCGCCGGCUGCAGCGCGCCGGCCACGGCGGCCAUUGGAGGGUGAACCAACGGCAAAGGAAGACCUUUCUCUCUGUCUCUCUCUCUCUCACUGUCCACUCUGCCUGUCAAAAAAAAAAAAAAAAAGAAGUCUGUGUGGCUCCCCAGAGGUUCCGGCUGAGCCCCAGGGCCUCCCUCAAGCUGCAGCCGCAGGAAUGGCUCGGGGCCCUUCGCCAUUCAUUCCCUAUGGGCCUCACGCAUCACCCCCUCCUCUCGGCCACCCCAGCCACCCCUCUCCCCAGCCACGUUUGAGAAACAAGCCUGAAAACUCCUGGGGUGCCCACCUUCCCAGGGCUCCCUCUUUGCUCAGCGCACAGCCAGAACCGCUGAACGGAGGCUUGGGGGAGAAACGCAGUCAUCAGUCGGAGAGGCCUCAGUUCCUCACGUGCAUCCCCGUGUCACCCACCGGAGGGACCCUCACAGCCACGCUGUGUCAGGAAGCAGCGCUCUGUCCACUUAGGCUACAGCAACAGCUCCUCAGCUAA